GAUGAACGCUGGCGGCGUGCUUAACACAUGCAAGUCGAACGAAGCACCGUAUAGGUUUUCCCUCUGGUCUGAGUAUUUUGUGGCUGAGUGGCGGACGGGUGAGUAACGUGUAGGUAAGCUGUCUCGUCCAGAGGGCGGACAUAAUGCCACGGCUGCUAAUACCGCAUAAGCGCACGGCAUCAAAGGCUGCAUUGCGAACACCUCGGGUGGUAUAAGCUGGACCCGCGUUGGUUAAGCUAGUUGGUGCGUUAACGGCCCACCAAGGCGACGAUCCAUAGCCGACCUGUGAGGGUGAGCCGCGACAUUGGCACUGAGACGCAGCACAGACUCCUACGCGAGGCAGCAGUGGGGAAUAUUGCACAAUGGGCGAAGUCCUGAUGGAGCUACGCCGCGUGAGCGAAGAAAUAUUUCGGUAUGUAAAGUGCUAUCAACAGGGAAGAUAAUGACGGUACCUGACCAGGAAGCCCCGGCUAACUACGUG
rnacentral:rRNA from 1 species